UAAUACCGGAUGGUCUCGGUCCAGGACAUCCUGAGCCGAGUAAAGCCUAGUGUGCCGAAGGAGGGGGUUGCGGCCUAUCAGCUGGUUGGUGUGGUAACGGCGCACCAAGGCGACGACGGGUAGCUGGCCUGAGAGGGUGGUCAGCCGGACUGGGACUGAGACACGGCCCAGACUCCUACGGGGGGCAGCAAUCAGGAAUCUUGCACAAUGGGGGAAACCCUGAUGCAGCGACGUCGCGUGGAGGAAGACGGCCUUCGGGUUGUAAACUCCUUUUCUCGGGGAAGAGAAUGGACGGUACCCGAGGAAUAAGCCCCGGCUAACUCCGUGCCAGCAGCCGCGGUAAUACGGGGGGGGCGAGCGUUGUCCGAAUUUAUUGGGCGUAAAGCGCGUGUAGGCGGACCGUAAAGCCUGGGGUGAAAGCCCGGAGCUCAACUCCGGAACGGCCCUGGGGACUUAUGGUCUGGAGGCAGGCAGAGGAGCGUGGAAUUCCCGGUGUAGCGGUGGAAUGCGUAGAGAUCGGGAAGAACACCCGUGGCGAAGGCGGCGCUCUGGGCCUGUACUGACGCUGAGACGCGAAAGCGUGGGGAGCGAACGGGAUUAGAUACCCCGGUAGUCCACGCUGUAAACGAUG
rnacentral:rRNA from 1 species